GGAUAAGCGGAAGAAAUUCCGUCUAAUACCGCGUAAUAACUCCGAGAGGCAUCUCCUGGGGUUUAAAGGGUAACACCGGCUACGGAUGGCCAUGCGGCGCAUUAGCUAGUUGGCGGGGUAACGGCCCACCAAGGCGACGAUGCGUAGGGGUUCUGAGAGGAAGGUCCCCCACACUGGUACUGAGACACGGACCAGACUCCUACGGGAGGCAGCAGUGAGGAAUAUUGGUCAAUGGGCGCGAGCCUGAACCAGCCAAGUCGCGUGAGGGAAGACGGUCCUAUGGAUUGUAAACCUCUUUUGUCGGGGAGCAAAAGACGCCACGCGUGGCGUUCCGAGAGUACCCGAAGAAAAAGCAUCGGCUAACUCCGUGCCAGCAGCCACGGUAAUACGGAGGAUGCGAGCGUUAUCCGGAUUUAUUGGGUUUAAAGGGUGCGCAGGCGGAAGAUCAAGUCAGCGGUAAAAUUGAGAGGCUCAACCUCUUCGAGCCGUUGAAACUGGUUUUCUUGAGUGAGCGAGAAGUAUGCGGAAUGCGUGGUGUAGCGGUGAAAUGCAUAGAUAUCACGCAGAACUCCGAUUGCGAAGGCAGCAUACCGGCGCUCAACUGACGCUCAUGCACGAAAGUGUGGGUAUCGAACAGGAUUAGAUACCCUGGUAGUCCACACAGUAAACG
rnacentral:rRNA from 1 species